rnacentral:rRNA from 1 species
GAUGAACGCUGGCGGCGUGCCUAAUACAUGCAAGUCGAGCGAACAGACGAGGAGCUUGCUCCUCUGACGUUAGCGGCGGACGGGUGAGUAACACGUGGAUAACCUACCUAUAAGACUGGGAUAACUUCGGGAAACCGGAGCUAAUACCGGAUAAUAUAUUGAACCGCAUGGUUCAAUAGUGAAGGACGGUUUUGCUGUCACUUAUAGAUGGAUCCGCGCCGCAUUAGCUAGUUGGUAAGGUAACGGCUUACCAAGGCAACGAUGCGUAGCCGACCUGAGAGGGUGAUCGGCCACACUGGAACUGAGACACGGUCCAGACUCCUACGGGAGGCAGCAGUAGGGAAUCUUCCGCAAUGGGCGAAAGCCUGACGGAGCAACGCCGCGUGAGUGAUGAAGGUCUUCGGAUCGUAAAACUCUGUUAUUAGGGAAGAACAAAUGUGUAAGUAACUAUGCACGUCUUGACGGUACCUAAUUAGAAAGCCACGGCUAACUACGUG